rnacentral:rRNA from 1 species
UCCUACGGGGGGCUGCAGUCGAGAAUCUUCGGCAAUGGGCGCAAGCCUGACCGAGCGACGCCGCGUGGAGGACGAAGGCCUUCGGGUUGUAAACUCCUGUCGAGGGGGAAGAAGGGGUAAAACCUUGACUGAUCCCUGGAGGAAGCACGGGCUAAGUUCGUGCCAGCAGCCGCGGUAAGACGAACCGUGCGAACGUUAUUCGGAAUCACUGGGCUUAAAGCGCGUGUAGGCGGGACGGCACGUCGGCCGCUGAAAUCCCCCGGCUCAACCGGGGAACGGGCGCCGAUACGACCGUCCUGGAGGGACGUAGGGGGACCUGGAACUUCCGGUGGAGCGGUGAAAUGCGUUGAGAUCGGAAGGAACGCCCGUGGCGAAAGCGAGGUCCUGGACGUUUUCUGACGCUGAGACGCGAAAGCCAGGGGAGCGAACGGGAUUAGAUACCCCAGUAGUC